CCAGACUCCUACGGGAGGCAGCAGUGGGGAAUAUUGCACAAUGGGGGCAACCCUGAUGCAGCCAUGCCGCGUGUGUGAAGAAGGCCUUCGGGUUGUAAAGCACUUUCAGCGGGGAGGAAGGGGACAAGGUUAAUAACCUUGUUCAUUGACGUUACCCGCAGAAGAAGCACCGGCUAACUCCGUGCCAGCAGCCGCGGUAAUACGGAGGGUGCAAGCGUUAAUCGGAAUGACUGGGCGUAAAGCGCACGCAGGCGGUCUGUUAAGUUGGAUGUGAAAUCCCCGGGCUUAACCUGGGAACUGCAUUCAAAACUGACAGGCUAGAGUCUCGUAGAGGGGGGUAGAAUUCCAGGUGUAGCGGUGAAAUGCGUAGAGAUCUGGAGGAAUAC
rnacentral:rRNA from 3 species